rnacentral:rRNA from 1 species
CCUGAGAAACCCAAAAGAUCGAAUGGGGAGAUUCAUCGUCAGCGUGGCUGGCUUCCGUGCGGUUCGCGAUGGCCGGGAUCUCGGUCCCGCGUCACGCGUCCGCCGCGGUAUGUCUGGCCGCGUCGGCGUGCACUUCUCCCCUAGUAGGACGUCGCGACCCGUUGGGUGUCGGACCGAUGGCCGUUUGGUCGACUGUCUCGUCGCGUUCACGCGUGCACGCGGCAGACCGAAAUGGUCGAGCGUCCGGCUGCCCGGCGGUAUAGAACGCUUAUGAACGGUAACGAGCCGCACUAAGUGCGUUCAGGCUCGUCGGCAGGCUCGUCUCGCCCGGAUUUACGGACCUAGCGCCGUUGCCGGGUGCUUGGCGUGGCUGUUAGUCGACGAUGUCCUCGGACUGGCUCGAAAAUUCGAAAGGAUUACCGGUCGGCGACGCUACUGCUUUGGGUACUUUC